rnacentral:rRNA from 1 species
UACGAAGGGGGCUAGCGUUGCUCGGAAUCACUGGGCGUAAAGCGCACGUAGGCGGAUUGCUAAGUCAGGGGUGAAAUCCUGGAGCUCAACUCCAGAACUGCCUUUGAUACUGGGGAUCUUGAGUCCGGGAGAGGUGAGUGGAACUGCGAGUGUAGAGGUGAAAUUCGUAGAUAUUCGCAAGAACACCAGUGGCGAAGGCGGCUCACUGGCCCCGGUACUGACGCUGAGGUGCGAAAGCGUGGGGAGCAAACAGG